ACGAGAGCCGUUCUAAUGUAAUUUUGAUUUAAUUAUGCUCGAUUCUGCGUACUAUUUUUUAAUCAGACAAAUCCAGUUGUGUGUCCUUAACGUUUUUUUGAAUUAGUUAAACUAAAUGAAAAAUUGGACACAUGUGUGAGAGGAUCGAUGAAUUAGUACGAUUAAUGACGAUAACAAUGUAAUUGUGAGAAACCCGUAGGGCUAUUGCCAUUGAUAAUGACUAUGAAACGUAGUCGAAAUAUUUGGGAAUAAAUACUAAUGAAUGAGCACUACCG